CCCUGAGUUCUUGUGUCUAUUUCAUUCUUCAUCCUCCUACACUAUCACCUGUAACUAAGACCUUUCUGAAUACCCGGGAUUUAAAAAUGAAUGACUUGUGGGGCGCCUGGGUGGCUCA